CCUAAAAGGUACGUGUUAUGUGUAGUGCUCACACAGAUUGUCUGAUGAAGAACGAGCAGAAAUACCGGUAUAGGCUUGUAGCUCAGGUGGUUAGAGCGCACCCCUGAUAAGGGUGAGGUCGGUGGUUCAAGUCCACUCAGGCCUACCAAAUCGUAUUGAUACUGCAUUGUGAACUUACUCGUUUACUUAAUGUAAACUUCGUGACUCCACGCCUUGUCUCACUGCGAUUGGCUCAAUUCUUACUUAAAGGAAAUUUCCGAUAAGAACGAAACCUGAGAAACGAAACGGUAUUAAGAAUGCAUUAUGGGGCUAUAGCUCAGCUGGGAGAGCGCCUGCCUUGCACGCAGGAGGUCAGCGGUUCGAUCCCGCUUAGCUCCACCAUAAUCUCUUGAAUAUAAAAAUAAUAAUUCAGAGUAUAUUAGCAAUAGUAUACUGCGAAUUAUUUUGCUCUUUAACAAUCUGGAACAAGCUGAAAAAUUGAAAACAAAUCAAUAUAUCACCGAGGUAUAUUGAUGAGUCUCUCAAAAUCUCAGACCUUGAAGUGUGAAACUCAAGACAAUUGUCUUCGAGAGAAACACCUUCGGGUUGUGA
rnacentral:misc_RNA from 1 species